rnacentral:rRNA from 3 species
GGCCUCAAAUAAUGUGUGACUACCCCCUAAAUUUAAGCAUAUUAAUAAGGGGAGGAAAAGAAACUAACAAGGAUUCCCCGAGUAGCUGCGAGCGAAAAGGGAAGAGCUCAGCACGUAGGGGCGGCGCACUUGCGCGUCUGCCCGGUUCCGUGUACUGGAAAUUUUGUCAUCUGCCAUGCCCGGCGCAGUGUCCAAGUUCAACUAGAAUGUGGCUUUUACUCCCAUAGAGGGUGAUAGGCCCGUAGGACGGCGCUGAUGGUGGAAAAUUUUUCCAUGGAGUCGUGUUGCUUGAUAGUGCAGC